rnacentral:rRNA from 1 species
CCUACGGGAGGCAGCAGUGAGGAAUAUUGGUCAAUGGACGCGAGUCUGAACCAGCCAUGCCGCGUGCGGGAUGAAGGCUCUAUGAAUUGUAAACCUCUUUUGUACGGGGAUAAAGGCGGAUACGUGUAUCCGGUUGAGUGUACCUGACGAAUAAGCAUCGGCUAACUCCGUGCCAGCAGCCGCGGUAAUACGGAGGAUGCGAGCGUUAUCCGGAUUUAUUGGGUUUAAAGGGUGCGUAGGCGGUUCGUUAAGUUAGAGGUGAAAGCCCGGGGCUCAACCCCGGCACGGCCUUUGAAACUGGCAGGCUCGAGUUGAGUAGAGGUAGGCGGAAUGCGUGGUGUAGCGGUGAAAUGCAUAGAGAUCGUGCAGAACACCGAUUGCGAAGGCAGCAUACC